CUUGAGUUCUGAAACGAAACUUAUCCAUGCUGCCUCUCCUUUGGGAAAACAUGUCCCCCCUGCUCAUUCCUUGGACUUUGGUAACCUGCUUCUACCUUCCAACCGUCUUUUGGACAAUGACCCAAAGCAAACAUCAAGCCUGGUUUUGGAACAAGUGAAACAGAAUCAGAUCUGAGAAAACCUCCCCAAACACUCAACCCCAUAAAAUGUGGGAAAUAUCUGACCAUGAUUCAAACCAAAGUCCUUACUGCUGGUCAACAACUGAGGCAAUAAAUUCAGUUCUGUGCACUGAGUUUCUGUUCAUAAAAGAUAAUAGAGGUUUAUAUUGUUUCAAAAAAUUGUAAAUAUAGCAUGGAAUGUCUGUAAUUAAUCUGAUAUUUAUAGCAACAAUGAGCAUGUGUUACAUCUACCUCUUGUUCUUGGUAUUGUCUCUGUAUUAAACUGGUGAACUCUGGUGCCAUCUAGUGGAUCGUAAGGCUGAAGUAACAAAAAGGCCUUGGCAGUUCUCUUCAUUUCACCUCGAGAGUCCCAAUGGAUGUGAAGGUUUAAACAAAUAAAUACUAAACAAUCUAAACAACUGGCUUCAUAGUUAAUAAUUACUGGGUUACUGUAACAAUAUUCAGACAAAUAAAUUGUUCAUUUUAUUAAAUAACUUGAAUGCACAGAAUGUUUUUUUAAGUGUUUCCAUUUACAGACUGGUGUAGAUACGAACCAUAAUUAGUGAUCAGUAGAUUACACAUUAUUACAUAGUUGUUAUGUCCAGGUGAGCACUAGAUGGCACCACAGUUAAUGAGUUUAACAAUGGCAAAGCGAUCAGACAGUGUCUGAAAAGGAAAGUGGUCUGAAUUCUUCAUUGCCAAAGUUCCAGUAGAAAUAUCUGUUUUUAGAUGGAGCAGCAUUAGAGUUUGCUCAUUCACGCCUCCCCAAACACAUCAGACUUCUAGACAAGCUAACUACACCAGUUCCACUUUGCUGCCAACGAACUGGACAGCGUGGUUGGAGGAACAAACACUGUAGUCAUUUUUGGCGUCUGGGCACACUUUGGCGUUUACCCUGUGGAGGUCUACAUCCGACGUCUGCUGAGCAUAAAGAGGGCAGUGGUGCGGCUGUUGACCAGAUACUCUGGUUAUUAUCAGGAUUGGUAAUCCCAAAAAGCUGACAGCACAAGAAACAGUAACCACCGAUGAUGACUGUUUUCUUCAUUGUGACAAGUUUGUGUCAGUCUUUAUGAAUAUUUAUGACUGUCGUCAUGAAGUGUCAUUUCGGUAAAUAAAGACACUUUAAUGCAAA